CUUCUUUCCAGGUUUCCUCCUAUGCUCUCUGCCCCACAGAGACCCUUCUUCCCAGUUCUUCUGUGCAGAAAGGAAAAAAAAAUAUGACAAGAGAUCCACCUCUAGAAUUAUCCAGUGAAGGUUUUGAAUUUCAGGAAUCCUACAAGAGCUAGGCAAGAAAAUGUUGCCAGGAGAGCAGCAACACACAGGUGUUUGGUAUGGAAGUCUUAAAGCUGGGACAGAGAGGAGUGAUAAAAAUUGUGAUGAAUGAAAAAGGGAAGUAGAUAUGGGAUGAUGAGACUGUUGUUGCCAAAAAAGGCAAUUCUCCAAUUUAAGGGCACCAAAGAGGAACAUAUAAGAACCUAAAAGGCAUUGGGUCAAAAAGCACACUUAGUAUUGGGACUCAGUGGAGUGGUACUGGGUAGGAGGGGGAAAUUUGGAUGAGAGACUGCUGCAAAAAAAGA